ACUUCCAUCAAAGAUCUAUCACAUAUACAACCUGGGAAAGGAUUUGCAUAGAAGUUCUCUUCUAAUCUUGGUGAUUCUCCUGCUUCUCUAGAGUAAGGAGCUCCUAAUCUGUUGGAAUGUAACGUCUUGACCUCGGAGGGUCAUUCUCCAUAACAGGACGUCGGUGGUGGAUAGUGAGUCCGGUUCCGGCCACUCUGGGACUACCGCUGGCAGAAUUGGUGGCGGUGCCACCGGUUGACAUAUUACCCAAUACAGAAUCAAAACAGAGAAUUAUGGGUAAUGUUUGCAGAUUGACAUAUCACAAAAUACAGAAUCAAAGAGAGAAUUAUGGGUCUAUUCAAAGAUUUUUGCUAAAAAAAAAAUGUUUAUCGAUUGACAUAUUACAAAAUACAGAAUCAAAAGAGAGAAUUAUGGGUC